UACGAAGGGGGCUAGCGUUGCUCGGAAUCACUGGGCGUAAAGCGCACGUAGGCGGCUUUCUAAGUCAGGGGUGAAAUCCUGGAGCUCAACUCCAGAACUGCCUUUGAUACUGGAUGGCUUGAAUCCGGGAGAGGGAUGCAGAAUUCCAGGUGUAGCGGUGAAAUGCGUAGAUAUCUGGAGGAAUACCGGUGGCGAAGGCGGCAUCCUGGACCGGCAUUGACGCUGAGGAGCGAAAGCCAGGGGAGCGAACGGG
rnacentral:rRNA from 1 species